UAACGGAUGGCCGAGUUGGUUAAGGCGAGUGACUUAAGAUCACUUCUCGUAAUGAGGCACGGGUUCGAGCCCCGUUCCGUUCA